CUGGUUUCCAGUGGUGGAAGAUCCUAUCUCAGAUUGGUCUAGCACCAUUUGAAAUCAGAGC
rnacentral:pre_miRNA from 1 species